UUGAUCGUUGCGUUACACCUUCAGACCCUACCGACAAUCGAUGCUUCCUCCAAACGGGACCAUGCACAGGUUGCUCGGGAUGCUCGGGAUGACCCCGAACGGUGUUCGGGAUCCCCCGGCGGGACCGAGAAUAUGAUCCUUCCGCAGGUUCACCUACGGAAA
rnacentral:misc_RNA from 1 species